rnacentral:rRNA from 1 species
UACAGAGGUCUCAAGCGUUGUUCGGAUUCAUUGGGCGUAAAGGGUGCGUAGGUGGCCAGGUAAGUUCGGUGUGAAAGCUCGGAGCUUAACUCCGAAAUGGCAUUGAAUACUAUCUGGCUAGAGGGUCGGAGGGGAGACUGGAAUUCUCGGUGUAGCAGUGAAAUGCGUAGAUAUCGGGAGGAACACCUGUGGCGAAGGCGGCCUGCUGGGCAGUGGCUGACGCUGAGGCGCGACAGCGUGGGGAGCAAACAGG